rnacentral:rRNA from 1 species
GGUCAGGAUAAACGCUGGCGGCGUGCUUAACACAUGCAAGUCGAACGGAGUAUUCCUCCCGCAGAUUGAAGAAGCUUGCUUCUGAUUAAAGCAUUGGAAUACUUAGUGGCGGACGGGUGAGUAACGCGUGGGUAACCUGCCUCACACAGGGGGAUAACAGUUGGAAACGACUGUUAAUACCGCAUAAGCGCACAGUACCGCAUGGUACAGUGUGAAAAACUCCGGUGGUGUGAGAUGGACCCGCGUCUGAUUAGCUAGUUGGUGAGGUAACGGCCCACCAAGGCGACGAUCAGUAGCCGGCCUGAGAGGGUGUACGGCCACAUUGGGACUGAGACACGGCCCAAACUCCUACGGGAGGCAGCAGUGGGGAAUAUUGCACAAUGGGGGAAACCCUGAUGCAGCGACGCCCGCGUGAGUGAUGAAGUAUCUCGGUAUGUAAAGCUCUAUCAGCAGAGAAGAUAAUGACGGUACCUGACUAAGAAGCACCGGCUAAAUACGUGCCAGCCGCGGC